UACGGGGGGAGCAAGCGUUGUUCGGAUUUACUGGGCGUAAAGGGCGCGUAGGCGGUCAGCACAAGUCAGUUGUGAAAUCUCCGGGCUUAACUCGGAAAGGUCAACUGAUACUGUGCGACUAGAGUGCAGAAGGGGCAACUGGAAUUCUCGGUGUAGCGGUGAAAUGCGUAGAUAUCGGGAGGAACACCGGUGGCGAAGGCGGGUCUCUGGGCAUUCCCUGACGCUGAGGCGCGAAAGCGUGGGGAGCAAACGGG
rnacentral:rRNA from 1 species